GGUGAAGGGGGUGGGCCUGAACUGAUCCAGGAACCAGUUCUUAGAAUAUAUUUUUAUAAUGUUUCCAGAGCAAACUGCAAUAAGAUUAUUAUGCUAUUCACGGAUGGAGGAGAAGAGAGAGCCCAGGAGAUAUUUACCAAAUACAAUAAAGAUAAAAAAGUACGUGUAUUCACGUUUUCAGUUGGUCAACACAAUUAUGACAGAGGACCUAUUCAGUGGAUGGCCUGUGAAAACAAAGGUUAUUAUUAUGAAAUUCCUUCCAUUGGUGCAAUAAGAAUCAAUACUCAGGAAUAUUUGGAUGUUUUGGGAAGACCAAUGGUUUUAGCAGGAGACAAAGCUAAGCAAGUCCAAUGGACAAAUGUGUACCUGGAUGCAUUGGAACUGGGACUUGUCAUUACUGGAACUCUUCCGGUCUUCAACAUAACCGGCCAAUUUGAAAAUAAGACAAACUUAAAGAACCAGCUGAUUCUUGGUGUGAUGGGAGUAGAUGUGUCUUUGGAAGAUAUUAAAAGAUUGACACCACGUUUUACACUGUGCCCCAAUGGGUAUUACUUUGCAAUCGAUCCUAAUGGUUAUGUUUUA
rnacentral:sRNA from 1 species